GAUGAACGCUGGCGGCGUGCCUAAUACAUGCCAGUCGAGCGAACAGACGAGGAGCUUGCUCCUCUGACGUUAGCGGCGGACGGGUGAGUAACACGUGGAUAACCUACCUAUAAGACUGGGAUAACUUCGGGAAACCGGAGCUAAUACCGGAUAAUAUAUUGAACCGCAUGGUUCAAUAGUGAAAGACGGUUUUGCUGUCACUUAUAGAUGGAUCCGCGCCGCAUUAGCUAGUUGGUAAGGUAACGGCUUACCAAGGCAACGAUGCGUAGCCGACCUGAGAGGGUGGUCGGCCACACUGGAACUGAGACACGGUCCAGACUCCUACGGGAGGCAGCAGUAGGGAAUCUUCCGCAAUGGGCGAAAGCCUGACGGAGCAACGCCGCGUGAGUGAUGAAGGUCUUCGGAUCGUAAAACUCUGUUAUUAGGGAAGAACAAAUGUGUAAGUAACUAUGCACGUCUUGACGGUACCUAAUCAGAAAGCCACGGCUAACUACGUG
rnacentral:rRNA from 1 species